CGCGAAGAAAAUUGCCACAACAGAGAAUCCCGCGCCAUUGCCGAAUGUUCCCGAAGAUGACGCAAACAAUUUUAAUAAUCUUCUGGAAUACCUUGGUUUAAGCGAUGAAAUCGUCCCCGCUGAAAUAGUGCCUAGCGAGAAAUUCAAUCGACAUAGCUCUGGAGUUACUCUUGAGGAAGGAGGAAAAAUUGCAGUUAAUGGUCCAAAUGGAGGACAUAGCUAUGUUCUGGGU